GUCGGGAAUAUUGCACAAUGGAGGAAACUCUGAUGCGGUGACGCCGCGUAUAGGAAGAAGGUCUUAGGAUUGUAAGCUAUUGUUAUGUGGGAUGAAGAAGACAGUACCACAUGAGAAAGCCCUGGCUAAAUAUGUGCCAGCAGCCGCGGUAAUACAUAUGGGGCGAGCGUUGUCCGAAUUUAUUGGGUGUAAAGGGUGCGUAGGCGGAUGGUCAAGUUGGUUGUGAAAUCCCACGGCUUAACUGUGGAACUGCAACCAAAACUAACCAUCUAGAGUACUGGAGAGGAAAGCGGAAUUUCUAGUGUAGCGGUGAAAUGCGUAGAUAUUAGAAGGAACACCAAUGGCGAAGGCAGCUUUCUGGACAGAGACUGACGCUGAGGCACGAAAGCGUGGGUAGCAAACAGGA
rnacentral:rRNA from 1 species